UUGGAGAAAGCGGCCACAGAAAAAGAUAGAAUAGAGGUUAAGCUUGAAAAUUCUCAAUCUGAAUUAGGUCAGGCCAGAGCAGAGUUGGAUAAAAUGCAGUCAGAGAUGAUGAAGCUUCAGAAUGAGUCUGACCGCAGUCGCACUGAGUUUGCUAGGCUUGCCCUGGAGAAUGAGAGAAUGCGAGAGCAGUCUGGGCGUUUGAAAUCCGAUUUUGAUAGAACUCAGACUACAUAUGGCAUGUCCCAAAUGUACCAAUCUGAUGAAUAUGAACGUAUUCAAGAUCGUUUAGAAAAGGCACAGACUGAACUACGCAGAGUUCAAGCGGAAUAUCGCAUGCACCAGGCUGAGCAAGAUCGUUCGAGAGGGGAAGUCGAGCAACUUCAAGAAAGAAUAGAGCGCUCUCAAGGUGAAAUAUAUCGUCUGAAAGCUAAACUAGAGAAUGCCCAAGCUGACAAAGAAAGCAUUCAAGAGGAGUAUGAUCGAGUACAGUCAACAGUUGCGCGCUCACAGAGUGAGCGAGAUGCCGCACUGGCAGAAGCAGAAAAGCUCCGCACUGAACUGGAUCGAAUUCAAACACUACUGAAUAAGAGUCAGUCUCAAAAUGAAAAAACACAGUCUUCAUUAGACAAGGCACAAAUGGAUUCGGAUCGUAUUCAAGAGAAGUUGGAUAAGGCGAAUGCAGAAUUGCGACGUAUGCAGGUAGAAAGAGAGAGGGCUCAAUCUGAAUUAGACAAUCUACAGUCCCAACUGAGCCAAGCUCAGAUGAAUUCAUUAAAAUUCCAGAAAGAAAAAGAAAUGAUAGAAGUGGAAGCAGAAAAAUCUCAAGAGAAGUAUGAAAAAACUCUUGCGGCACUGCAACGACUACAAAAGGAAAAAGAUAUCACUAACUUAGAUUUAGAAAAACUUCAAGAAAAAUCGGAUUCUUUACAUGCGCAACUCACAAAAGCUUUAAAAGAAAAGGAAAAUACUCAGGCUGAAUAUGACAUCAUUAAAGAUCGCCUUGAAAAGACUCAAAAUCAACUGGAAAAAUAUUAUAAUGAUUACGAUUCUUCCCAAAAAGAAGCUAAAUCUUAUCGAGAAAACGUUGAAAAGUUACAAGCUCAGUUGCAAAAAUCGCAAGAGGAACGAGACAAUGCAAGAAGAGAAUAUGACAAACUGACAGAAAAAUCGGAAAAAUCGCAUUCAGAUAUUUAUAAAUUACAAGCAAAGUUAGAUCAAAUGCAUACUGAUAUGGAAAAAUUAAGUUUGGAGUUAGAAAAAUCUAAUCUUUCUUCAAAUAAAACUAAAGAAGACUAUAAAGGUGCUGUGGAUGAAUUGGAAAAGUUUAGAGAAAUGCAUUCCAGAACUGCUGCGCAACUGACUAUUUCCAAGGAAUCUGAAGAAAAACUUCGCUUGGAAUUGGACCGUUGUCAGAUGGAACUAAAUGUCAUGCGAGAGCAAUAUGACAAGUCUCAGGAUUCAUUAAGAAAAGCUCAAACGCAAUUAGAGAAACUGCAAUCUGAAAUUGAUGGUCUAAAGAAUGAAUUGAAUAGAGUGACUACUCAAAUUGGAAAAACCCAGUCUAGCCAUGAGAAGUCACAAGAAGACUUAUCAAGAUCUCAAAAAGAAAUUGAAAUAUUGAAAGAAAAAGUCGAACGAUUACAGGCAGAAUUGAAUAGAACGCAUGCAGAAAAGGAUAGAUUGCAAAUAGAAAGUGCCAACUUGAAAUCAGAUGUUGAACGAUAUCAAAGCCAAAUGCUUAAACAUCAUACCAAUCAAGAAAAAGCUAUGUUUGAAAUUGAAACAUUGAAAGAUGAAUUGGAAAAAUUAAAACUUAAACAUGAUAAGACUGAAAUGGAGUUGGAAAAAUGCUCAAGGGAUAAAGAGAAAACUCUAAACGAGUGUAACAAAGUUAAAGCAGAAGUGGAUAAGAUAUCAAAUGAGAAACGUCUGGUAGAAAUAGAGAAAGAUCACCACGUUGAAGAAAUUUCCAAGCUGCAUAUUGAAGUGGAUAAAUUGAAAAACAAAUUGGAACUUUCAAAAGAUGAAGUGAAAAAAUAUCAAGAAUUAAAACAUCAGCAUAAUAUGGAAAUUGAGCGAAUGAAGCAUGAUCUUGAAGUAGCUGAGUUGAAAGCUGAAAGGCAUGCCACCUCAGAGGAUCGACAAAAACAGGAGGUUGAAAAAGUUAAAUUUGAAUUGGAAAAAGUAACUGAUAGACAUGAAAGGACACUGGCUGAUUUGAAAAAAGUACAUGUAGAGAGAGACAAUCUGGAGGGUGAGUGUAAAGCCCAUCAAUCUCAACUAAGUCAGUUACAAUCUCAGUUGGAUAGUUUACAGACUACUCACCAUGCUUCAGAUACAGAUCUUCAAAGGGCUAAAGCUGAAACAGAACGCAUUAGAGCUCUUCACCACAAAUCUGAAGCAGAGCUGCACAAAACUAUUGCUGAAAACAGUAGACUUCAAAUAGAAAUAACUAAACUAAAGGAAGAACUUGAAGAAGCUGAACAAUCUUUGGCCAGACACCUCAAAGAUCAGUCUUCUGGAAAAGGAGAAGUUGAGAAACUACAAAGGGAAAUAGAUAGAUUGAAAGACAAACUAGACAGAACUCUAACAGAUGCUCGUCGUUCUGCAGAUGAUAAAGACAGAUUAGAGGCAAAAUUACAAGAAGUAUUGGGAGAACUGGAUCACCAUCGAUCAGUAAGAGGUAAAACUGAAGAAUAUCAGCAAAAAUCAAGAGUUGAGUUGGAUUAUUCUCAUAUGGAAUUGCAGCGGCAUAAGAGGGAGUUGCAGAGGCUUGAACAGCAACUGGAAGAAACUAUGAAUGAAAACAAAGAAUUAAGAAGAGAGUUAUCUAAAUCUCUCGAAACGAUCAGCAACAUCCAGAGGCAGUUAGAAGAUUCACAAGUUGAUCUGAAGAGGGCAGAAGAACACAACAGGAAACUAAAAUCAGAAGCCAAUUCUCAAAGAACGUUUGAAUCAGAACUUCUUAAGACUGAAGAAGAACUUAUGAGUGCAAAUGCUGAAAUAAGGGACUUAAGGGUUGAGUUAGCCAAAUCAUAUGAGGAUGCAUCUAGUCUUCAAAAACAAUUAGAGGAAGUGCAAAAGGACGUGAAGUUACUAGUGGAAGAAAAUAAAGUAUUAAGGAAUGAGCAAAUAAAAUCUCAAAAGGCUGAAAAUGAAUUGGAAAAAAUUGAAGAACAACUGUUUGGCGCUAAUGCAGAAAACAGAGAGCUAAGAAUGGAGCUUGCAGAAACUUAUGAAACUGUAUCUAACUUGCAAAGAAGACUGGAUGACUUAGAAAGAGAAUUAAAAACUGUAGAGGACCAAAACAUCAAGCUCAGAGCUGAACAGGCUAAAUCUCAAAGAACUGUUGAGAGUGAACUUAUAAAGGUAGAAGAAGAAUUAUUAAAUGCUCAUUCUGAAAAGAAAGAACUUCGAAUGGAGCUUGCUAAGUCUUAUGAAACAAUUUCAAGCCAUCAAAAACAACUUGAUAAAUACCAGAUAGAACUUUCAAAAGCAGAAGAUGAUAUCAGUAAAUUAAAAAAAGAAUUAGACAAAAGUCAGCUCUCUCAGUCCCGUUACAAUAAAUUAGAGGAAAAGUUAUAUCAAGCUAAUUCUGAGAACUCUGAAAUUAGAGCAGAAACAAAGAAGUUGUAUGAGAAGGUUUCUAACAUUCAAAAGUUACUGGAUGACGCAAAUUCGGAACUUAAAAAAGCUGAAGAAAGCAAUCGUCUCUUAAGAAUUAGGCUUGAAAAAUCUCAAGACAAAGACAAAGAGUGUAAAAAGAUGGAAGAUCAACUCCAAACAUUAAGUACUGAAAAUAAAGAUCUAAAACAAGAGUUAUCAACUCUCCAAGAAAAGGUAUCAAACAUAAAGAUGAAAUUAGAAGAUUCUCAAAAUAACUGCAUGACUCACGAGGAGCGUAACAGGAAACUCAGAACCGACAUUGAAGUUCUGAAGGAAAAAAUGGAUGACGAAGUCAAUAAAUUUUCAGACCAACUACAAAAUUCUGCUUCUGAAAAUAAAGAGCUACGUUUGGAACUGGUUAAAGCAUACGAGUCAAUAUCCACUACUCAGAAGCAACGAGAUGAUUUAAACAAGGAAGUUAAGAAAUUGGAAGAUAAAAUUGAGAAAUACCGAUUAGAUCUAAUGCAAUCUGAGAAAAAAGCAAGUGACUAUAGCAAAGUUGAAAUUGAGCUGAAAAGAAUGAAUCAGGAUAAUCAGUCUUUAAAGGCUGAGCUAUCAAAAUCAUAUGAUAAUAUUGCCAACUCACAGAAAAGGUAUGAAGAACUUUUAGACAAGAAAAAUGAUGCAGAUAAUUUAAUAAGAGAAUUAAAGAGUGACUUAGAAAAAUAUGUUAAAGUCGACGUGGAGAAAGGAAAAUACAAAGAUGAGCUUAUAAACUCUCAGAGCGAACUUAAUGAAACUAAAAAAGAGUUGUCUAAACAAUAUGAAAUGAUAUCUAAUCUCCAAAGUGAAAUAAAAAAUAUAAGCUCACAAAUAGGAAGAAAAGAUGAUGAAAUAAGAAAACUGCAUGCCAGUGUGGAAAAUACCAAAGAAGAUUAUGCAAAUGAUACAAGUGCCCUUAAUAAAAAACUUAAAGAAAUAUCGUCUGAAAAAGAACUUCUGGAAGAUAAGGUCAAAGUGAUGAAUGAUAAAGUUAAGUCCCUAGAGAAGCAGCUGAGUGAUGAAUCAUAUGAAUUAACUAAAGCACAGGAAUUUAAUCAGAAAAUUAAAUUUGAAUUAGAAAAAGCUGAAAAUCGGUUAAAAAGUGAGCUUCAGAAAACUGAAUCUCUUUAUGAUAUCAAUGAGGAAAACAAAACAUUAAGAACUGAGCUUACCACUUGUCAGGAAACGAUAUCUGAUAUUCAACAUAAAAUAAAUGAAAUGUCAGCUGAAAAUAAAAGAUUAAAGGAUUGCGAAAACAAGUUGAAGCUUGAAAUUGAAAAAUCUAAAAAUAUUGAUAAGGAAUUAAAGGAAUUGCAACAAAAAUUUGAGAAACUUAAUAGGGAAAAUAAGGAGUUCCAUAGUCAAAUUGAUGAAUAUAAGCAAGUGGUUGAACAGACUCAGAAGUUAUAUAUAGACACCCAAAGACAACUAGACGAAGCUCAAGGAACUUUAAAUAAAACACAAAAACAGCAUACUGAUGUUCAAAAAGAACUUGAGAAUUCUAAAAAGACAGUUUCUGAGACGGGUAAGAUGUAUAGAGAUGCCCAAAAAGAGUUGAGUGAGGUCAAAGAAAAGUUAAUAGAGAAAGAAAAGAAGCUACAGGAUACUCAAACUGAGCUGCAGAAAUUCCAAGAACGAAAUAAAAUAUUAGAGGAACAACAGAAUGCUACUCAGAAAAGUAUUUCUUCAGAAUUUCAACGGUUAGAAGAAGAUUUACAAAACUCCAUGAUGGAAAAUAAAGAACUACAAAUGGAGCUUAAAAAGUCUUAUGAUGAUAUUUCUGAUUUGAAAAAGCAAAUUGAAACAUAUCAAGCAGAUUUUCAGAAACUUAAAGAAAUAAACAAAAAACUGAAAUCUGAUUCAAAAUCUAAGAAAACGUUAGAAAGUGAUGUCCAGCGAUUAGAAUCUGAUCUCCAAACUGAGAAAUCUGAGAAUCAGAAAUUGAAAUCCGAACUGAGUGAGUAUCACGAAAAAUUAUCAACCUUGCAAAAGAAGAUUGAAAAUACUGCUGUAGAGCUUGAUUUUACCAAAGAAGAAAAUAGAAACUUGAAACAAGCUCACCACUCUGCUCAACGGAAUAUGGAAAAUGAAAUUAAGACUUUAAAAGACAAUUUAGAAAAUAAAAGUUCCGAAAAUGCAGAAAUUAAAAAUGAGUUAGCAAAAUCUUAUGAAGCAGUUUCGAAUCUUCAAGAAGAGGUGGAGAAAUAUUUAUCUGAGCUUAAAAAAUUGAGGGAGGACAAUAGAAAACUUAGAAGUGAACGUUUAGUUUCCCAAAAAACUGUUGAAUGCGAAUUCCAAAAGGUUGAAGAACAACUAGUUAAUACAGAAUCGGAAUUGAAAGAUUUACGGACGGAGGUGAAGAAAUCCCAUGAAGCAAUAGCAAAUCUGCAGAAAGAACUUAGUGAUUCACAAAAUGAAUGCAGGAAGUUGAAGGAAAGUAACAAGAAAUUGAAAUCCGAGCAGUCCAAGAGCCAAAAGAGUAUUGAAACUGAAACUCAGAAACUUGUUGAAAAAAUUGAAAGCUUGUUAGUUGAGAACGAAAAGUUAAGCACUGAAGUUAAUCAGUAUGCUGAAACUUUAGGCACUUUAAACAAACAGAUGGCUGAAGACAGAAAAGAAAUCGAAAAGUUGAGGGCUGAAAGAGAUAAACUAAAUGCUGAUUUGACAACGGUGAAAAAGAGCAUGGAAGCAGAAUUUAAUAAAAUUGAAAAAAGAUUGCAAGGAGGUGAUACUGAGAAGCAAGAACUUCGCGCAGAGCUGGCAAAAUCUGGAGACACUAUUGCAACAUUCCAAAAAGAGCUGGAAGCUUGUCAGGUUGAAUUGCAGAAGAGCAAGGAACUUAAUCAGCAGAUGAAAGCUGAAUUGCAGAAGGUACAAAAGAAUGUGGUUAAACCUGCGGCUACUGAAAAGUUAGAAAAAGAAAAUGUCAGAUUACAAAAAUUAAUUGAAAAGCAAAAAGCGGAGGCUCAAAAGAAUGCUCAAGAAGUUGAAAAGCUAAAAGCAGAUUUAGAAAAAUCCCAAAAUGAAGUAAAAUCUUUUGGUGUGGAAAGAGAAAGAUUCCAAUCUCAAUUAGAAAUGCUCGUACAAGAGAUUGAAAGAAGCCAGAUGCAAGGAGGUCCUGGUGGUCCACAGCAAGCUGAAUUAGCAACUCUGAAAAAGCAAGGGGAAGAGAAGCAGAAGAGGAUAGAAGAUCUAGAGAAUAUGUUGAAAAAAUGUAAAGAAAAAAUCAAACAAGCAGAAACGCAAGCACAAAAGGGACCUGGUGGACCUAGUGCUGAUGAUCAGAAACGAUUGGGAGCAUUAGAAAAACUUUGUGAAGAAUUAUCCAAGGAAAAAGACAAACUAGAAAAAGAAUCAAUAAAAUCCAAAGAAGAUGCUAAGAGGCUACAAGCAGAGUUAGAUCGAUUACUUGAUGUUAUGACUGUAGUAGAAAAGGAAAAGUUCCAAUUAAAUGAACAGAUUAAGGAAUUACAAGAAGGAAUGAAGGACAAAGAAAGCAAAGUUCAAGGAGCAAAAAGGGGCCAACAAGCAGAAAGGAAUAAAAAUGCUCAGAUGUUAGAAGAAGCCAGGAGAAGAGAAGCUGAAGCUACUAAAGAAGCCUCUAAAACACAGGAGCAAGUGCUACAGCAGCAAGAGAGGAUUGAAGAAUUAGAAGAGGCUGUGAGAGAGAGUGUUCGCAUUACAGUUCAGAGAGAGAUAGCUGUGGCAAACCAGCAGAAUGUCAUCGAAGCUGCUGAUGAAAAGAUUCGGAAGUUGCAGUCUGAGGUUAUUGGUCUUCAAAAGGGUAUCAAUGCUCGCUGCACUAACUGUCCUCCUUUAAAAGUCAAAAUGAUUGAAACACAAAAGAAUUUGGAAAUACUCAUAACUGAGAGGAAGCUCCACCUAGAACAAUUACUUGAAUUGAAACAAGAAGCACUUGCUGCAACUAUAAGUGAAAAAGAUUCUCAUAUUGCUUUUCUUGAAAUGUCGGGCAUUAAAGAUGGCAAAACGGCAGAUCAAUUGGAAAAACUGAAGUUAGAAAGAAAGAGACUCGUAGAAAAAAUCAAAAUUGAGAAUGAAAACAGAAUGAGACUCCUAAUAGAGUUACAAGAAGCUAAUUUAGAUAACCAAAAUUUAAGUGCCAUUAAGGACUCCUCACAGUUUUAAUUUUAGGAUGCUGAAGAAGAUGGAUUGCGAUCAGUAUCCUAAUCUUAAGCGCAAAACAAUGCUUCCAAAGCGUCUGCUCAGGGUAUUAGCGAUACAAGAAAAAAAAAGAGCUGUGCAAGCCAUCACCUCUACUCUCUCUGAUCUCGUCUUCCAGAAAGCUGCGACUCCUCAGCCUUGCUUCCUAAUCUUCUGCCUCAUUGACCAACCCCUCUGAGCUAGAGCAUCCCUUUUGUCUUCUUGUCUUCGAUUGGAGAAGAAGUUUUGUAUAAACUGCCAUGAACUACUCUAGAUAAAUUAAUUUGUGCAAUUGCAUAGUGCUCUGAUACCACUUGCCACUGGUGCCAUAUUCAAAGGUGCAGAUCUGUUCAGGAGAAGGCUAAAUAAUUGGUGCAGUAUUUUGAUUCAUUGAGGAUGAAAACUGCCAGAAUUACUUUAGUUUACUUCUGGUGUGUAACCAGGGAGUUAACAUAUUUCCCCACACUAGAAAUUACUCAUUUACCUACUCCAAAAUGAGUGAGUACAAUAAAAAUAUAGUGAAACUUGAGUAAGUUGACCAUUUAUGGUGCGUUGCUUUAGUAUUUAACUUAUUGAGGGAGUUUGAGUCAUUUUUUUUUGUAAUUUCGUAUGUGAUUUAAUUUUUAUAUUAGUUACCAAUCAAUAUGUAUAUAAAUGUAAUUAAUAUUUUUAGCAAAUACCUAAUCCAUCUUAACAAAUAAGCAUAUUUUUUAGUGCUGUGUUCCAGCUACUUAAUAAAAAUAACCUUUUACAAUAUCUAUGCAUCCUUUUACAAUAUCCUAUGCACGUUUUUGUGUACACAAAAACGUACAUAAUUAGAAAACUUAACUCUAUAUUCAUUACUAACUUUAAAAAUUCAUUUUGUUUUACUCUUUUGGUGUCUUUUUAUGCAAAAGUCUAUUAUAAGUAGUUUCUUCACUUGGUCAACUUAUUAAGGGGGUUAGAUUAGCUUUUUAUACUAUUUAACCAAUCAGUAAAAACACGAACUUUUCUUUCCUCACCCAACUUAACUUAUAAAGGGUUUAGUAUAACAUUCAAUAUCUCUGCUAAACAAAAUUGGUGUUUAGUUUACAAAGGCUUUUCUCCCUUUUAUUAUAUAAGCUAAAUUCAGUUCUUGGAAGCAGAGCUCAACUUAGACAAACGGUCAACUUGACAGGUUUCAUUAUGUAUCAAUUUUUCAACUUUAUACCUUAUAAGUUCCGGGGCUCUCUUAAAAUGAAUACUGGCUAUACUGCUGGUCUACAUUAGUACUAUUAGUUUCUUAAAAAGAUUUUAAAAAUAAGUUAUAAAAAACAUAUCUUCCCAAUUGAGAAUAAUAAGAGAUUUAAAUUAUGAAUUAACAUAGUAAAUUGAUUUAAAAAUACAAAUAUUACAUUUGUAGUAAAUUGGUUUAAAAAUACAAAAACUACCUUUAAAUUGAAAUAUAAAAAUUAAAUGAACAUAAAUGCAUUUAAGUCGGAGCUUUUCUAUAUAUUACCGUUGAGUGUUAUAUGUGCUCCAAUAUGUUUCUUUCCCUUCAUUUUUAAAUUUCAAUUUGAGUUUAACUUUCUUAUUUUUAAAUCUAAUUGUCUUAUUUUUAAAUCUAUUGGAAGACACAUUUUGGGCUUACGCUGUUUUAGCACUUUUCCAGGUUUAACUUUGAUUUUAUUCUUCAGCACUUAUGCUACAUAUUCUUUUUUUUUUUAACAGACUUGUUUUCCGUAAUUUAUUGGAUUUUGAUGUAAUGAAUUUAGUCUUCAAAAUAUGUGUCAUGAUUUGAUUUUAUAAAUGCAUGUGUACCAAUUUGCUCCGAAACUACUGUCGAUGGCCUAUUUAUGAAUUCAUCAAUUCAAAUAUGUGCAGUGGCCCCCACCCCCCAAGCUUUUGGGCGCAUUCUUGGGCAAAUUCUAAAUUCCCCCCCAAACUAUUCGUUUUAUUUAGUGUAAAAAUUCCCCCCCAAGCUUUAAGUGGGCGCAUCCUGUGCCCACCUUCCCCCCUGGUGGGGGUCCCUGAAUAUGUAAUCUGGAGAGGAUUAAAUGAUGUAUAAUUUAAUGAGUUUCAGUAGGUAGCAUUUAUUAUUAACAUUCGUUAUUAAUUGGUAUCUUUUAUUAGUAAAUGAUAAUAUAACACUGGUUUUAUUCAAAUUACUGCAGCUUUUAUUUGGGCUCUCCUAAAAUGUGUGUGUGUCUGUGACCACAAAGAAAGAAGACUCUUAAAAGCUAUUUAUUUUAUUGCUUUCCUUGAUCUCUGCAUACAGCGUUUGCUUUUUAAGCCUGCAAUUUUAUAUUUCAAAUUAUUUUGUGCCAUAUUUUUUAAACUGUGGAUAGUUUACAUAAGUGUAUAAAUCGUUAAUUUUUUUGUAUAUUUAAGUGAUUCAUAACUAAGUUAUUUGUAAUUGUUGCUGUGCGUGUUAUUUACCUAAUGAAAUUUAGCAAAAACUGCAAUGUUGUGAUUGAACUUGAAUGCCCAAGAAAUUACAUUGCAAGUAUUAAUAUUAGCUAUUUAAAGUAACAAAUUAUGUAUUUUAUUUAUUUUUCUUACUACAAUGCAAAUGUUUAAAUUGCAGAAAACUGAAUAUUUGCAGUAAAACAGCAUUCUUGCUUAUCGAAUCUCAAUUCAAUUUUUAUAUUUAUUUUUCUAAUAGCUUCAUUAUAUAACCUUAGUUUUAUUUAUAAGUAACAUUUUUACAUAUUUGAACUAUCAAAAUUAUUUUUUAGGUUUCACUUUAAAGUUUUUUUACUGUAUUGAUAAACAUUAAACCUCAAAUCAUUUUAUAUAAAUCUCUAAACAUCAUAAACUAUAAAAUGUGUAGUAUGUUUAGGGUAAAGAUAUAUAAUUGUUCUAAAAGUAUCAAAAGUUUAUAAAGUAUAACUUUAUUUUUCAAGCAAUAUGUAAAAUAAGUUCAUUAUUAAUUAAUUAUUAACUCUAUUUAUUAAUUGUAUUAACAUUGAUUAAUUAUAUUUGUUUUUUUCAAAUACUGCAUACAACAGUCUAGUCUGUUUCAUCACUUUUUUAAUAUUUGUUUCCAGUUCUAGUCAUAUUUUUAUAGAUUCGAUUUUUGACAUUUAACAAUUGACCAAAUAUAUUUUUUAACAUUUUAUAAUGUGUGUGACUUCUAACAAAUAUAUGCACUAGUCAGAUUUUCAAAAUAUAAAUUAGGUAAACAGAAUGUUUAUAACCAAAGAUUCCUCCUAUGUAUUAUUCUAAUAUAUAUUAGACUAUUUGUCAUAUAUUUGUACUAUAUAAUUAAAAAUGAAAAGCUAAAGUUUUAAGAUAAAAUCUAAGACUAUAAUAUUCUAAAUAAGACGUUAAUGCAACUGAAACAAAAUUCGAUCACAGUACUAGUUUCCGCUCGAUUGAUUAAAAAGGAAAUGUACUGUUUUCUCACUCAGCUGUAACAUUUUUAACGCUUUUUUGUUGGGUGACAUCUUGACUUUAAAGGUUAAGUUUGCACGAACUAUUUUUGACCAAUCACAAGGCAGAUAUUCUGCAUUUAAUGGCAAUGGUGGUGAGAAAUCAAAGGUAAAAGAAAAUUAAGACUUGGUUAAAAUUGUAUUUUUAAUGUUAUUUUUCAAAUAAUUUAUCGUUAAUAUUUAAAAUAAUUCAUUCACUAAUGAGUAUUAAAUAUAUAUAAGAGAGUUGUGUGUACUAAUUAUUCAUCAAAUAAUUAAAAAAUGGUUCUGAUAUUAUAAAAAUAACUUUGAUGCUAUUUUUUAAAAUAAUAAUUCCUUCACUAAUGAACAUUAAAUGCAUAUAGAAAAGUAAAAUAUAGAUUUUAAUUAUACAUCAGGUAAUUUGAAUACGAUUAUGGUAUUAAAAUCGUAACUUUAUUGCAAGUAUUUAAGUAAUUUAAUAAUUCUUAAAAUAAAUCUUUCCCUCAUUACUGAGUAUUAAAUACAUAAGACAAAGUGGUGUAGAUGUUAAUUAUUCAACAGGCAAGUAGAUGAAAUAAUUUUAAAAAUGAAUAAAUCAGCAUUCAUCAGGGCUAAGAAACAAUAAAUGAUACUAUAAUGAAAUAGAGAUUGCAUAGCUUGCAUCUAUUAAAUCUCAAUUUUUAAUAGUUUUCAUUGUUGAUAGAUAUAAAGUUGGUGUAACAACUUUUUGGUUAUUUGAAAGAGACAUGAUAAUUUGUGAGUGCUAUAACAAUAUUGUAAAAACAUUAAAUAAUGUAGUGUAAGUGUGUACACUUUUCAAGUCUUCUAUUUCUUGUAGGUUCUCAUUGAAAUAGUAAAAUAUUGAGAUGAUCAUCAGUUUAUUUUCUACAGCAAUAAUUUAAUAGUGUUUAUAUUUUAAUUUAGCUGAACAUGAAUAGUUUAUGAUACUUUUAUUAAUUUCAAUUUAAAUAGUUAUUUAUGCAUUCAUAAAUCAUUAUUUUUGUAAUAAAGUUAAAUAUGAAAUUGUUAUAAAUGUACUGGAAUAUAUGUUGUUUAAUGUUUAAUAAGCUUAAUUUAAAUGCUUAAAAUUUUAUUUUUCAAUGUGGUAAAUUUAACAGUAGUUCAAUAUUUCAUUUUGCUGGUUGAGAUUUUAAGAUAGUCUUUCAAUAUAAUUAAAUGAAAAAUUAUGUGUGUCGAAAGAUGUACAGUUUGAGGUGGACAUUUUUAGUACUAGAUAGGUAUUAAUUGUUAAUUGAAUCAGUUGUCUGCUAAAUGUCUACUAAUUGUUGAAAAUAUUGAAUAAUUUAUCAUAGUUAUUUUAAAUGUUAACUCUUUUUAAAGUGUUUAAAGCACAAUUGUGCAUCAAAUAAAAAAAAUAAAAUAAGUAUCUCUGUAUUGGUCACUGAAUAUAUAAUAAUAAAUAGCAUAAUGUAUUUACAUUUAAAAUCUAAAUAAAAUAUAUUUUAAGGAUUUGAAAAUACAUAGUAUAAACACAGAGUUCUCCCUGGGAAUAAAAAAAACUUCCUCGCAGAAACGGCACUUUGAGUUUUGGAAGGGCACUCACUUAACACUGUAAAAAUCUAUCAAAAUGUGUAAUAUUAUAAACUGAAUUUGAUUUUCAAUUCUUAUACUAUUUUAUGCGUACAUUUCAAAAAAUAAUUUUCCCUCAUUAUCUAAA